UUGACCUCGGAUCAGGUAGGAAUACCCGCUGAACUUA
rnacentral:rRNA from 18 species